AUGACUUAUAAUUUGGAACGGAGGGAGUACAUUUUUAGGAUGGGGCCCAUAGUUUCAACCCUUUUCAUGAAUGUAAAUGUGUAGUGAUGAUAUUUGAGAUAUGUCUGGAUCUAGUACAGAUGUGCAGUGAUGAUAUUUGAGAUGCUUAUCCAUCCUCUUUUUUUUUCCAGUGCCUCCAAAUGGUUUAGCUGCCACUCCACAGCCCUCGUAAUCAGGUAUGAAUAAUUUUUACUGGCCACUCCAAACAAAAAAAAAAUAGAAAAGUUCAGAGUUUUUCAGUUUCAGUGCAGUUCAGUUAUUCCAGAGUAGCAGCCUUGCAUCUUUUUGUGUUUUGUCACCUAAUAGUGAAUAUUUUAGUCAAGCAAUCCUUCACAGAUAUUUGAAGGAUUCAUUUCCUAUUGUUAAUUUUCUACUGUUUGGUUUGUACUGCCUAGUGCCUUGCCUACUUGUUGAUUAGGUUGACAACUUACUGAUGAUAGGUUUCUGAGUGUUGUACACAUGUACUGCAAAACAAAUAUGCUUUUGUUUGCUAAUCUACCACACAUUUGACAUGUCCUUCAGUUUGCUAAUGACUUCUCAUUUGUUUCAGGUGAUGCAGGGGUAAAAAGUUCAAGCAGAGAGAUAUGCUGGUGCUGGAGUUGUCUCCAAAUUUAUCUUAUUGUCAAAUACUUGGUUGUCUUUUGCUUGGAGAUAUGCUGGUACUUGGAAUUAUUCGUAGAUAAUAGACUAUAAAUUAUACCUUUGUAGCAAUCUUAGCUAUUGGAGUUAGACAUGUCAGAGUGUUGAUAUCAAGAAUCAAAGAGAUUAAUGUUGAUUUGUCAUGAGAGAACUAGCUAAGACCUUGCAGAGCUCUAGUUUCAGUUACUUGAAAUGUUUUAAUUUAUUCAUGCAUAGUUUCUGGAAUAUUGUUUGAACGCAACAUAGUUUAUGAGAUGACCCAAUGUGUCAUUUAAGGUCAUGUAUGUACUGCCAUUUACUCAAGUGUGUGUAUUGUUUUAGUUCAAUGAUUAUGUUUGGUCAUGUGUAUGCAUGUUAAUUUCUCUAUUUUCUAUGUGAAAUUGUGCUCGUGUUUUCGUUUUUUUUCAAUUUCAAAGCAGGGUUUUUAGAAUUACAGAUGGACAUAUAUGUUGGAUUUUCUUUUCUGAUAUUUUCUUUCUUUUAUUAUUUUUAUUUAUUUUUCUCGAUCUUUUAUAUACCGAUUUUUACUCAACUCUUUUGUUAAGUAUUUUAUUUUUCUAGUAGUGUUUGAACUCAAUAAGCUUAAGUUUGAAUUUUUUUUUAUUUUUUUUAAAUUUCUCACAUGCAUACGUUGUAUUGGGUGCUGCUGCCGUUGAAAGGAACCACUUGCCUCCCGCGAGCUCACACGUGGUUGUCAAAUCGCGCGUGUAUUGGGUGGAUGGUGUGGAUUCAUCCAAUACACGGGUGGGACUAUACACACUUGUAAAAUAUUCAUGGACAGCCAAACGAGGCCUUAGCAUUAUACUUAUAGUAAUCUUACUCUUAUAUACCACAUUUGCUUAUAUGACAUGUCAGAUUGGGUUGACACGCUAACGCAUAGUCAGUAUAGACACAUAAAAUGUUCUUUUUACCCUUGCCUUACUCAUCUCUCUCUCUCUCCCUAUGUGAACACUGGGUUGGGUUCACCUCUAUCACUCCUCAUGGUGUCUUUGCCCACCAGCUUCGCCAGCUCCGAAUCCCCUCGGAAGCGCAAGUAGAUAUACCUGUACGUGUUCAUGGCCAUGACGUGCGACGCCACCGUGUUCGCACACACCCGUCACGCCACCUCGACGUGCCGGUGCAUCGCCACGAGCACGCUCACCGCCGGUCGGCGUCCUCAUCGCAAUUGUCCAGAUCCGCACGCAGCGCGGUGUCCAUGAGCGCACAGUAGUCAUCGGACGCGAGGCACUUGAGGUAGUUCACGGCGUAUCACACGAUCUUGGGCACGUGCCCGGCGUCGCCGUCGCCACCGUCGGUGACGUAGAGCAUCUCGAUGCGUAGACUGAACUCGAAGAACACACCGGACACGACGCGCACCAGCGCGUGCUCCACCUUGUGUGCGCUCGCGGAUGGUGACCCGCGUGGCCGACUCGGUGAAGAUCUCGUCCAGACGCUCCCUCUCACGAACCACCGCGUCGAGCAUGUCGAGUAGCUUGAACAGCUCUGCAGCUUGCGCGCUUCAGCGGGCACACCGUCCGCAAAAAAGUGGAAGAACGCGCGCGACAUUUCGGGUGACAAUUGAAAGGUCCAUUAGAGGGGGGUGAAUAGCCAAUUUAAAUUUUCCACAAACUUCAACUAGACAAGUUGAUUAGUAAAACAAAAUACGAAACUAUUCUAGCACUAGCACAACUAAGCUAUGCAAGCCACCUACACAAGUCUAGCAAGAAAGCUAAACACUAGUUACAACAAGAAAGCACAACUAAAAGCUUGCUACACUCCUAAACAAGAUAGCUAAGCAAAACAAGCUACACAACUAGCAAGGUAUGCACAAGUAAAGGAGAGAGGAAUGAUUGUUAUACCAACGUUGUAGAGUAGAGAUAUAUCCAAUCAAUCACGUGCACAAUCGCAAGAGAGACCUCGGCAAGAGAUGACACAAGAUUUUUUACCGAGGUUCACUUGCUUACCGGCAAGUUACUCCUCGUUGUGGCGAUACACCCACUUGAUGGAUCACGAGCUAAUUGGCAAUCCAAAGCCGAACCCUCAGCGGGUGCCGCACAUCCACUCACAAGAUGGGGAUCCUCCAAGCCACGAGCAAUCCACUAAAGUAGCCAUUUGCGAUCUCCCGUGGGGAAGGCUCAAGAACCCCUCACAAAUCACAUGGUGAGGCUCGAAACAAUCUCCAAUCACGAGCUCGACACCACCGCUGUUCCAAGCCGUCUAGGGCGUCGAGAAACACCCAAGAGUAACAAAAAAAUCCGCAGCAAACUCAAGAAUCAAGUGCCACUAAAUGCAACUCUCAAAGCAAUGCACUUGAAUCUCACUCAAUCUCACUAGGAUUAGCAAUCAAGCAAGGAGAUGAGUGGAGGGAGUGUUCUCUAGCUCAAAGUAUGUCUCAAGGAAUCAAAUGUACAAGAGUAAGCCCCCCAAAGCCGGCCACCAACUAUUUAUAAGCCCCCUCAAAGAACUAGCAGUUGGCUACUUUCACUGGGCUG
rnacentral:lncRNA from 1 species